GACGAACGCUGGCGGCGUGCUUAACACAUGCAAGUCGAACGGUGAUGCUCCAGCUUGCUGGAGUGGAUCAGUGGCGAACGGGUGAGUAACACGUGAGCAACCUGCCCCAGACUCUGGAAUAAGCGCUGGAAACGGCGUCUAAUACUGGAUACGAAACUGGCCCGCAUGGGCAUGGUUUGGAAAGUUUUUCGGUUUGGGAUGGGCUCGCGGCCUAUCAGCUUGUUGGUGAGGUAAUGGCUCACCAAGGCGACGACGGGUAGCCGGCCUGAGAGGGCGACCGGCCACACUGGGACUGAGACAAGGCCCAGAAUCCUACGGGAGGCAGAAGUGGGGAAUAUUGCACAAUGGGCGAAAGCCUGAUGCAGCGACGCCGCGUGAGGGAUGACGGCCUUCGGGUUGUAAACCUCUUUCAGCAGGGAAGAAGCGAAAGUGACGGUACCUGCAGAAGAAGCACCGGCUAACUACGUG
rnacentral:rRNA from 1 species